UACAGAGGGGGCGAGCGUUGUUCGGCAUUCCUGGGCGUAAAGGGCGCGUCGGCGGCCUGCUAAGUCGAACGUGAAAUCCCCGGGCUCAACCCGGGAACUGCGUCCGAUACUGGUUGGCUUGAAUCCGGGAGAGGGAUGCGGAAUUCCAGGUGUAGCGGUGAAAUGCGUAGAUAUCUGGAGGAACACCGGUGGCGAAGGCGGCAUCCUGGACCGGCAUUGACGCUGAGGCGCGAAAGCCAGGGGAGCAAACGGG
rnacentral:rRNA from 1 species